GUCGAGCGGUAAGGCCCUUCGGGGUACACGAGCGGCGAACGGGUGAGUAACACGUGGGUGAUCUGCCCUGUACUUCGGGAUAAGCCUGGGAAACUGGGUCUAAUACCGGAUAUGACCACUAGAUGCAUGUCUUGUGGUGGAAAGAUUUAUCGGUACAGGAUGGGCCCGCGGCCUAUCAGCUUGUUGGUGGGGUAAUGGCCUACCAAGGCGACGACGGGUAGCCGGCCUGAGAGGGCGACCGGCCACACUGGGACUGAGACACGGCCCAGACUCCUACGGGAGGCAGCAGUGGGGAAUAUUGCACAAUGGGCGAAAGCCUGAUGCAGCGACGCCGCGUGAGGGAUGACGGCCUUCGGGUUGUAAACCUCUUUCGACAGGGACGAAGCGCAAGUGACGGUACCUGUAGAAGAAGCACCGGCCAACUACGUGCCAGCAGCCGCGGUAAUACGUAGGGUGCGAGCGUUGUCCGGAAUUACUGGGCGUAAAGAGCUUGUAGGCGGUUCGUCGCGUCGUUCGUGAAAACUUGGGGCUCAACCCCAAGCUUGCGGGCGAUACGGGCGGACUAGAGUACUUCAGGGGAGACUGGAAUUCCUGGUGUAGCGGUGAAAUGCGCAGAUAUCAGGAGGAACACCGGUGGCGAAGGCGGGUCUCUGGGAAGUAACUGACGCUGAGAAGCGAAAGCGUGGGUAGCGAACAGGAUUAGAUACCCUGGUAGUCCACGCCGUAAACGGUGGGUACUAGGUGUGGGUUUCCUUCCACGGGAUCCGUGCCGUAGCUAACGCAUUAAGUACCCCGCCUGGGGAGUACGGCCGCAAGGCUAAAACUCAAAGGAAUUGACGGGGGCCCGCACAAGCGGCGGAGCAUGUGGAUUAAUUCGAUGCAACGCGAAGAACCUUACCUGGGUUUGACAUACACCGGAAACC
rnacentral:rRNA from 1 species